CCCUGUUCUACUCUCUUUGUGGGUGCAAACUCAUUGAAUCCUCAUGACAACCCCACAAGGGAGGUGUUACUGCCACCCCCAUUUCACAGACGAAGGAACGGCGAGAGUGGACGCCAAGGAGCUGCCUGAGACCACGCAGCUAGGGCAAGGCGGAGCCAGGAUUCGAACUCUGGCCACAGAGCACCUCUCGCCAUGGCACACUCUCAGUCUUGAACCUGAGACUGUGGGGCCAUGUGCAGUGUCCAAUAACAUUGGUGACUGUUACUGAGAAGGUCCCAGUCCUCUGCUCCCCAGUCCUGGGUGCCCCGGGCAGGAAGUGCACCCCCCUCCCCACCCCGGAAGUCUCAGGACAGUCAGUUUUUUCUGGCCCACGGUGAGCCCAUCUCAUCCCCUUUCAGGAGGGGCCGGCUGCUGCACCCACUGCCCGGGCUCAUCAUGCAGGGUGGGCAGUGGCUUCUCUGCACCCCCAGGGGAUAGGGAGACCCCAUGCACUCUGGUCAUCAGAAUUCGGGUCUUCUGUGGGUUCUCCACGUUGCAGCAAACCAACGGCGCUCACAUCCUGCCUCCUGGGGCUGAGACAGCAAAGCAGGAAAUUGCAUAACAGGCAUUGCUGGCCAAGCUCCACGCAGAUGGCUUCUGGGUGGUGCAGUUCACUGUCAUGGUUUGCUUCUCGGUGUGGAGUCGGCUCCUGAGCUCUGCCCAUGAGAGACCAUGGUGUGUGUGUGUGUGUGUGUGUACAGAGAAUGGGGUGCAGGCCUAACCUGACAGCAGGGUUUCGGAAGCUCAGGGGCAGGAGAACAAAGCCUUCAUGCAGAGGCGCAGUGACACAGGAGACGCAGCCUAAUCUGUCUCGGUUUCCUGGGACACGGACUGGGGAUGGACGUCGUUCCUCACCUCACAAGACUGCGGAGGCACGUGAAGCCGAUGGUCCUGAGCAUCUGGAAAAGUGCCCAGCUCAGAACUCAGGAUUUCCUCACAUGUACCAAACUGAGCAGUACUCAGUUGAAUACUCGAGAGGACCCUCCGCAAGGGUCCAGAGUUCUCUCUGUGUGAGGCCCUCUCCUCCCCAGUCAUCUGCUUUGUAAACUCCGGGAGACUGCCGGGCUCCUCGUGGGCUCUCUUUCCAUGCACUGUGAUCUGGACACUUUCUCCAGGCGUCUCACUCUGUCACCCAGGCUGGACCUUUGCGGGUCCCUGAGCCGCAUUCCUGAAGUGCGUGCUGCCGGUCAGCUGUGGGAUCAGGGAAGACUUCGUGGAGCACUGGGGUCUGUCUGCUAGGGCCUGUGUCUCUCCCUGUGAAGGCAGGGAAGUCACCGUGAGCACCGCAGUGACGGUGCCAGGCUCUGCCCUGAGCCCCGUGCAAGCCCUGCCCUAUGAGGCACACGGCACCUGCCCCAUUUUCACUGGGGGCAGAUGGGAUGACCUGCUCCAGCUGGUGAGUCUCAGAGGAUGGCCUCCUCCCCAGGGCCUCCUGCACCCAGUCUGCACUCUUCACCACUCACCUGGCUGCCCUGCUCUAGUGCAUUCCUGGGAUGAGACCCAGAGGACCCCUGGGCAGGGUGGGGGAGCCCUGGUCUUGCUGUGCAGCUCUGGUGCCAUUAGCUGGCCCUGUGCCCUUGAGCUGUCUGAAUACUCGCUACCCCUUGUCAUCUCCUGCGGGGGUCUGGCUUUUGCACAAGUCUUGGCUUCUUUCUAGGAAGUCGUGCUGUGAGUCAUUUAUCAACAGUUCCUGACUCUUGCUCUGUCCUGGCACUGCCCUCACGGAGCUGCCCGUUGCUGGGACAGACUAGAUAAAUGAAUGAAACCACGGACUACACGAGCAAUUACAAUUGCGACGGAGGCCUCAAAACAGCAGCGCAGCAGGGCAGGAGCACACAAAGGCAGCCGGUGCCUGUGAGCGGGUCAGCCCACCAGGAAGGCUCUGCAGGAGGGAGGUGGCGCUUAAAUGGAGACCUGCAGGAUGAGCAGGAAGGGACAGAGGAUGGAGCGGUCCCGUGGCGAGGAGGAGAAUGGGCCAUCUGAGGAGCAGAGAAGUGCAGAGGGGCCUGGAGAACCGCGGGGAGAUGGGACGCGGAGAGGGGCAGGAGAUGGAGAAGGGCCAGACAGGAGGGUCUGCAGGCACUGUGAGGGCUGCAUGGCAGCCAAGUCCCCUUCUAGCCUUCCAGAUGGAAAGGCACUAGGCGAGGUCGAGAAAGCCAACAUCUGAUGGGCCACAAAGCAAAGCUGCUUCUGCACCCUCAUGGGCCAAGAUACCAGCAAGGUGAGGUCACCUCCAGCCAGGGCCGGGCUCGGCUCUUGUCUCAUGUGCUGGGGCUCCCGCCUUCCAUCCACAGCCCACUCGCUCCCCCCACCCCUGCCUGUGGCCUCUGCAGCUGGCAAUCUAGGCCCGAAAACAAUGCAGAGAAUCUCCGGCCGGCCAGGGCUGCGGUAUGGAUGGGCUUCUAUUUAUAACAAUGCAGCAACUGCCACCUCAGUGGGCCUGUGGCCUGACCUCUGGUGGGACUCUGGCAAGCCUCAAAGCCAGACCCUGGAGGAGACAGCAGAGGAAGGGCAGAUGACACAGCUGAAGGGUGUGGAGCCAGCUGCUCCCACCCUGGCGUCCUCAUCAGGACCCGCAAACCCCCAUCUGUGCGUGGUUCACACCAACAUAAGCUAGACAGGCCCGGCCUCUGUCCAGCCCCCCUGGGCUGCCGUUUUAGACAGAUCACGAUCACAGAUACAAACAGGCGAGAGGAAGCAGAGGGGACAGGUAACUUCGUGGUGUCAGAGUAUCUGCUGUGACUGAUGUCAAGGCCAGCUUGUUUUCACAGGGUGGUCUGUUGGUCGGUAAGGGGUUCAGCAAUGUUGCUGGCACCAGCAGGCAGGAUUUCUUUGGAAAUGAACAGGUAUCUUGGAGAAGAAUCAGGAGAUCCAAUGGUAGCCAGCCAGGGCCUGGCAGGCGUGGGAGGGAGGCACUGCCUGGGCCCCAGUGCCGGUUCCGCCCCUCAUUCUCUUGUGAGACUUGGGCAAACCGCUUCCUGGCUCAGCCUCAUUUUCUCCUCUGAAAGCUGUGGGUUAUAGUAUGUGGCUCACAGGGUGAAAUGUGAAAAUGUCAGUGAAGUGCUUAGCAUAGUCAGUGCCUGGCAUGCUGUAAACAUCCAGUGAAUUGUUACUAUUACAAAGCAAUUUUAAAAAAGGAAUGUGUGUUAGAAACACAACCAGCAGGAAGUGAGCUGUGCUUCCGUCCAGCAACAUCCACGAGGCAGCGGUUCCCAGCCUGAGUGCCAACGACCCCGACUCCAAGGAGAAAGGUUCUGAGGCAAACAUAUUUGGGAAAUGGCAGACUGUUUCCUCUUACUGAUUCACAAAACACAUUUGCAUAUUACAGGCUCAAAAAGGUAUUUUUUAUAAUAAAAAGAUGUUAAAUUUUGUUCCAUCCACUCUUCCUCAACUUAUUUGGCCACAGAGCCCUCACCUUUUUUUUCUUUUUUCUUUUUUUAGAAUACUAACUUCCCAUAGCAGACAUUUUGAAAACGGCAGAAGUUUGGGGGUUGAUACACCCUCCAUCCAAUUGCUCCUCCUUCUUUCCCCAGGAGAAAAGUAGAGAGUGAUGUUGAGGCAGAGCAAUGGGGACGCACACACAGGAAUCCGACCGGCUGGCAGCCCACGAUGGGAGAUCCACUGUCCCUGCCUUCCAGCCAGGGUGCUCCACGACCUUCCUCAGAGGAAGUACGGGCAAGAAGCCCCAUCUCUGGCAUGAAACUGGGUCAGUUUUGUUGGCUAAAGAUCAAAUGCCGAGAAGUACGGGACAGGUCUUCUAAGAGAAAUUACAAAUGGGGCCAGGUUGUGCUGGCUCACGCCUGUAAUCCCAGCACUUUGGGAGCCAAGGAGGGCGGACGGCUUGAGCCCAGGAGUUCAGGACCAUCCUGGCUAACAUGGUAAAACCCCGUCUCUACUAAAAAUACAAAAA